GAAAGAUGAAAAGAACUUUGAAAAGAGAGUUAAACAGUACGUGAAAUUGUUGAAAGGGAAACGAUUGAAGCCAGUCGUACCUUCGGGUAAUCAGCCUUUCGGGUGCGAUUCUGUGGAGUGUGAGGAGCUUAACACCUUCAUGCUUUGCAUAUUUGUGCUCUUGGGUGUACUUGCCCGUGUGGUUGGUUAACAUCAAUUUUGGUUAUCAUAAAAUGAUUGGAGGAAUGUAGCUUCGAUCUCGUAUUGAAGUGUUAUA
rnacentral:rRNA from 1 species